rnacentral:tRNA from 1 species
GGAUGGGUAGCUCAGUGGUUAGAGCUUAGGUCUUGUAACCGGAACGUCCCGGGAUCGAAUCACGCUGAAGGCA